AACGUAGGUGGCGAGCGUUAUCCGGAUUUACUGGGCGUAAAGGGUGUGCAGGCGGGUGAACAAGGGGUGUAUGAAAGGUUUCGGCUCAACCGAGAUAGGUUAUGCCAGACUGUUUACCUAGAGUGUGAGAGAGGGACGUGGAAUUCCUGGUGUAGUGGUGAAAUACGUAGAUAUCAGGAGGAACACCGGUGGCGAAGGCGGCGACCUGGUCCUAUACUGACACUCAUACACGAAAGCGUGGGGAUCAAACAGG
rnacentral:rRNA from 1 species